rnacentral:ncRNA from 1 species
AUAAAUAUUUAUUUUAAAAAAAGUUUUAUUCUAGCUUAAAUAAUUGAUGUAUAGUUUAAAUUUAUAUGUAAAUUUUAGUGUUCAAAUAAUUUUAAAAAGAUUUUAAAAAGCAGUAUAUAGAAUUAAAAAUUAAAGAAAUUUAGAUUUAGGAAUUUAAUUUAAUAUUAACAUAAUUUGUGCCAGCAGUUGCGGUUAUACAAAUAAUAUAAUCAAUUAUUAUUAAAUAAUAAUUAAUUAGGUUUUAUUAAUAUAAAAAGUAAUUUAUUAAGUGAAAUUUUAAAUUGCUAUAAAAUUAGUUUAAAAAUUAUAAGGUUAUAAAAUUUUAUAAUAGACUAGGAUUAGAUACCCUAUUAUUAAAAUGUAAAAUUAUAAAUAAAUAUUAAAGUAUUAAGAGUUAUAGGCUUUAAAUUUAAAGAUUUUGGCGGUGUUUUAUACUAAUUAGAGGAACCUGUUCUAUAAAUGAUAAUCCACGAUUAGAGUUACUUAUUUUCUAAAUUUAUAUAUCGUUGUAGUUGAAUAUUUUAUAAGAAAUAUAAUAUUCAAAAUUUUUUAUGUAAAAAUUAAAUCAAAUCAAGAUGUAGUUUAUAGGUAAGAAGAAAUGGGUUACAUUAUUUAUAUUUUUAGAUAAAUAGUUUAAAAUUAUUUUGAAAUUGGAUUUAAGAGUAAUUAAUUUAAUUUAAGAUUAAUGAUUUUAGUUCUAAAAUAUGCACAUAUCGCCCGUCGCUCUCAUUUGAAUUGAGAUAAGUCGUAACAAAGUAAAUGUACUGGAAAGUGUAUUUAGAUAC